CACGUAGGGCGCAAGCGUUGUCCGGAAUUAUUGGGCGUAAAGAGCUCGUAGGUGGUUUGUUACGUCUGCUGUGAAAACCUAGGGCUUAACCCUGGGCUUGCAGUGGAUACGGGCAGGCUGGAGUUCGGUAGGGGAGACUGGAAUUCCUGGUGUAGCGGUGGAAUGCGCAGAUAUCAGGAGGAACACCGGUGGCGAAGGCGGAUCUCUGGGCCAUUACUGACGCUGAGGAGCGAAAGCGUGGGGAGCGAACAGG
rnacentral:rRNA from 1 species